GUAGGUUAUAUGCAUAUAAAUUUAUUUGAACUUGCACUUUUAUUAAUAUUGCAUAAAAAUAAAUUUAGGCCAGUGUUUUUAAAAUGUUAAUAGCUAAUCAAUUUUUGGAUACAGGAGUCUUUUAACAUUAUGAGAAUUUGAAAUUGUUACCUGAGAAGAAAUAUAUUCAAAUGAAUAAUUAAUGAGCUGGAAUAGUUUUUGAGACCAAUCUAAAGAAAAAGAUGCAGUGGUUAGCUGUUCAUAGUACCCUGGUGUUGGCCGUUUGCGGUCUGUGUCAAAAUCGUAUCAAAAAGACAUUUGGGAGUUAUUAGAUUCUGAAGCGUAUGCACGUGACUCAGCCGUCUAUUGUUAUUUGACAAUAAAAUCACACGCAUUCACAUUAAGUACGUUAAGGUUUCAGCACGUUAUUGCAACAUCAUGUAAAAUAAUAUACCCACUCUAAAAAAAGACUGCCAAUUACCAAAACAGACAGCAGCGUCCUCCUUUGAUGAUGACAACAAUCGCAAACAAAUGAUAACAAUCAAAAGGAUAAUCGUCGAUCCUCUCCAAAUAUCUUUCAUUAAGUUUCAACAAUGAAAAGUCAAAUGGUCGAUGAAGAAGAGAAUGUAAAUGCUUUGUUUUUAUUUUUACGGUACAAUGAUACGUUGCUCACAUUCAACCCCUUUGCAUACUUAGGGUCAAGAUUAAUUGAGCGGGCCCAGCUUGUGGAUUUUAGUAGACGCCGUCAAAAAGGAUUACCAAUAGCUCACACGUUCAUUUCCUGUCUAGACAAUAGAAUAGCCAAAAAUGCUGUUUUUAUAAUAACUUAUGUUGUGACUAAUUGAUUAUAUAAUCAUAUAUUAAAUUUACAUAGAACUGUAGAAGAUUAACUCUUGACUGCUCUUUUUAAUAAAACA